rnacentral:rRNA from 1 species
GACGAACGCUGGCGGCGUGCUUAACACAUGCAAGUCGAACGGAAAGGCCCUGCUUUUGUGGGGUGCUCGAGUGGCGAACGGGUGAGUAACACGUGAGUAACCUGCCCUUGACUUUGGGAUAACUUCAGGAAACGGGGGCUAAUACCGGAUAGGAUCUCCUGCUGCAGGGUGGGGGUUGGAAAGUUUCGGCGGUUGGGGAUGGACUCGCGGCUUAUCAGCUUGUUGGUGGGGUAGUGGCUUACCAAGGCUUUGACGGGUAGCCGGCCUGAGAGGGUGACCGGCCACCUUGGGACUGCGAUACGGCCCAGACUCCUACAGGAGGCAGCAGUGGGGAAUCUUGCACAGUGGGCGGAAGCCUGAUGCAGCAGCGCCGCGUGCGGGAUGACGGCCUUCGGGUUGUAAACCGCUUUCGCCUGUGACGAAGCGUGAGUGACGGUAAUGGGUAAAGAAGCACCGGCUAACUACGUG